ensembl:lncRNA
GUUUGACUCAACACACGAAGGGAAGGAUGAAAUGAUGCAACUUUGGGCACCCAAAAAGUCAGUUAACUAUAAAACCUAUGAACAGACGCCAGCCUACCUGUCAGCCACUGGCAGAACUCCAGCAUCGUACCCUGAUUGGAGCGUGUGGCUGAGAUGGGGAGAUGGAGAGGGUGAGCUUGGUGUGCCAGCUAAUCCUGCAGGGCUAGAGAGAGCGAGAGAGCCGAAAAAGAGUGAAGGAGAGCAAGAGAGAGGGAGAGAAACGGGGAUUAUAAUCAACCUUCAAUUCAAUCACACAAGCCCAGACAAACAUUACCCACACCAUUAAACAAAAAGGCAAUCACUGAUCGAUCAAAAGUCUGAGAAAGAGCAAGAGAGAAUAUACGUAAAUAGAAAAGUAUGGACAUAGUAUGUAAUACCUUUCACUGCUUAGUGAUUGGAAGGUGUGACUGAGAUGGGGAGAUGGAGAGGGUGAGAAGGAGCCAGCUAGCUCUGCAGGGCUAGAGACAGAGAGACAAGUGUAUUGGCUACGAUCUUC